GGCUACAGCAGCACCUGAAAACUAGGUCAAUCAAAGUGUGGCGGCUCUCCUACAUCUGGAUGCGUGUGCAGCAGUCUACUGCAUGGGGACUACUGUGAUGGAACAGCUUCGCAGAGCAGAAAGAAUGGAAAUCAUUUCCUGAAAAGCGGUUGUCUCCGUGGAUCAGUAUACCACUACAACCCAUCACCCCCAAGCCCACUGAUGCCAACGCAGCAAGUGACCGCGCAUUGCUCGCAGCAGCAAUAAGGACCAACACCUUAAUUAUCAGGCCUUGGUGACAUAGACGGUCACAGCACAGCAGUCACCGUUAAUUAUUCGCCGCAACACAGCAACAAUUAGGAUUUAAAUCGCUGUUGUUAUAUUUUUUUAUUUAUUUCGCCGGCAGCUGCUGCUGCGGUAACACCCCUCUUUGUAGAUCGUGUGCACUCCUUCUCCCUCCUCCUUCCUCUCCUCGGCUCUCCAUCCUUCCUUCCCGGAACGGCGGGGUGGACUGGUGGGGCUAUGGAGGAUGCAGGUGAGAUGAGGAAGACAUUCACGGUACCGGAGAUUAAACCGUUGAAUCAGUACGACUUCAACCGAGCCAAGGUGUGCGCCAGCGUCCGGUGGCUACUGGCGAAGUCAUACGGAUCCGCAGAGAAUGUCCCGGUGGAGCUGCGAGAGCCUCUGUACAGAGACAAGUAUGAGCAGGAGCACCUCAAGCCCUCCGUCUCCCAGCUACUCCUGUCUCCUGAGCUGUACUGUAGGACCCAGGCCCUGCUCCACGGGGUCUCCCAGCCCGCUCCUCAGGGGCCCCCAGGGGACAACUCCGCACUGCUGCAGCUCCUCACCAAGAGGGGCCUGGAGCCCAGGGACCAGGAUGUGGCCAUCACGGAGGAAGACCUCAGCCACACGCCCAUCAAGACGAAGGCCCACCUGGUCCUGAUUGACUCGCUGAUGUCACUGGCUGCCAUGGAGAUGGUGGGCAAGGUUAAGAUGACUGCAGAGGCAGAGAAAAUGGGAGGCGGGGCUCCGUGGGAGAAUGCCCUCCUCUUUUGGGUUAACCGGUUGAAUCAGAAGUUGAGAGAGAGCACUGAGGAUGAGGAGGUCCCAACCUGCACAGACCCACAGCCUGUUCAACCAACAUGUCCCACCCGCUGGUACUGGAAACUGGUCCCACAUGCCAUCGCUUUUUGUUUGAAGGAGGAGUCUGGGAAUAAACCUCCAGUGAUCCGUUAUAGGAAGGAUAAGGUUCUGUCUAAGCAGACUCCUACUUUUCCUCUGGUGUCUGGUGUAAGGGAUCUGUCUAAUGGCUGUGCUAUAGCUGCUGUUCUGCACUACUACUGUCCUGACCUGCUGCCACUGGAGGAUGUGUGUCUAAAGGACACCAUGUCAGUAGCAGACAGUCUGUAUAACCUGCAGCUGAUCAGAGAGAUCAGUGAGUCCAGUCUACAGAGGUGCUGUCACCUGGAGCUGGAGGACCUGCUCUACGCCCCGCCCACACUACACGUGAACAUCAUGAGCUUCAUAGCAGAGCUGCUGGGAUGGUUCGAGGUGCAUAAACCUGACUUCGUCAAGCCAUUACUACCUCUAGACCUGACAGAUGCCUCAGGGUUGUUGGAGUCCAGUCCUGUCAGUGGGUACAGCAUCAGUGGCUCUCCCUCCUAUAUCUUCAAACAGCCCUUCGUCCCCAUAUCCUCUCCUGCGUCAUCUGAAGGGAACAUGUGGACCAAGAAACAGAUCCGUCGUCCACUCUCGGCUGUAACCUUCAGUAUUCCAUUCGGUCUGGACAGUGACGUGGACGUUGUCAUGGGCAACCCCGUGCAUUCCGCCAGCACCAACAGCCUGACCGCUGGCGUGCCCGCCAUGAUGACUUCAUCGAGCAGAAUGUCAUCUGGGAUGACACGGGUCCCCUACAGCCCCCCCGAGGACCUCAGUCACCUGGUCAGCGCCUCUGUCCCUCAACGCUCCUCCUGGGGCCCGCACACACACUCACACACACCGGCGCUAGGGGAGCUGCCGACAGUCGAGAUCAUCCACACUCCUGGAGGAGAAAGAGGUGGAGGAGGGAAAAGAGGAGAGAAGGGAGAUGGAGGAGGAGGAGGAAGGCCAGAGCCACGCUUGCGUCCAGAAGGAGCUCCUGCAGGUUUCUUCCUUCAUUCUCCUGAAUACGACCUGACCCAGCUCAGCAGCUCCGCCCCCUGCCGCUCCGGAAUGCUCUACCGACCAAUAGGAGGGGAGGGGGGCGUAGGAGAGAAGCAGAGAGUGGGAGGCAGGGAGAAGGGGGAGAAGGGGAGAUCGGAUGGCUCGCGGGACGAUGACUCGGUCCUCCGCGACGGAAGUGUGGACUCAUCGGAAGCUUCCGACGACCUUCCUAGAAACGCCCUCGGCAACGUCCGCCCUGGCCACGGUCGUCACGGCAACGGCAACAUCAGCAACACCGGUGGCAGCAGCGGCAGCCCACAGAUGACGAGCUUCGCCGAGCGGCGGGACAGGAGGAGACAGCCGGCCGCACCGGGAGAGGAGUCGCCCAGCACCCCGACCCCCACCACCCCCACCCUCCAUACCCCCACCCACACCACCCCCAGCCCAGGAGGGAAGCACCCUGAGCCGGGUACAGAGGCCUGGGAGCUGGGGGCCCGCCUGGAGGAGAAACGCAGAGCCAUCGAGGCCCAGAAGAGACGCAUAGAGGCCAUAUUCACCAGACACAGACAGAGGCUGGGCAAGACUGCCUUCCUACAGCUGAAGAGAGGAGAGGGAGGAGAGGGAGGAGAGGAGCCUAUAUCUCUGGAGGAGCGUCUCAGCCGCAUGGAGGAGCAGCUGAAAGAGGAGGAGGAGAGAGAAGAGGGAGAGGAGAAAGACAAGGCAGAUGAAGGGAACUCCCGCCCGCAGGCGCGAUUGGAGAAGCAGGUGACGUUUUCCAUGGAUACGAGGAAGGGGGCUGAGAAAGGGGUGGAUAAAUGGGAGGGGCCUGAGCCGGGGGGAGGGGCUGUUCUAGGGGAGUAUAAUGAGGUGGUCCUGAAGCUGAGUGAGGCUCUGAGGUCACUACAGAACGACAUGCAGAAACUGACCCAACAACAACAACAGCUAAUGGGCAAGAAGACCACACCCAAACCCACACCUAAAACUACACCCAAAACCACACCUAAAACUACACCCAAAACCACACCUAAAACUACACCCAAAACCACACCUAAAAGUACACCCAGGACACCACCCAGGACCCCCACUAAGAGUCCGACUAGAACCCCGACCAAGAGCAUCAGUAAGGCGUGGGUGAUUCCUGCAGGCUCCAAACCCCCCACCUCCACUACCUCCCCCUCUCGCAGGGCCCUCCCCCAGCUCUCCUCCACCCCUCCCAAAACCUCCACCUCCACUACCUCCCCCUCUCGCAGGGCCCUCCCCCAGCUCUCCUCCAACCCUCCUAAAACCCCCAUCUCCUCCUCCUGCCCUGCCCCACGCACAAAGAUCCACUCCUCCUCCCCCCGUAGCCCUAAGCACCACCCGCGCCCCUCCCAACCCCACCCCCGCCCUUCUGAAUUGAAGUUCCCUCCUUCCACCCGUGUCCUCACCCCCCCGCAGCAUGUGGACUCCCUCCCACACCUGCGACGCGUCUCCCCCAGCCAGUGCCAGGUCCAGACCUCCUCAUCUUUCCGUAUCGGGGGCCCCUGCACCCCCCAGGAACCCCCUGCCUCCAUGCGGCCCCAGCCCGAGGAGAGUACCUCAGAGACGGGCUCCAGCGAGACGCAGUUCAGCCUGGAGCUGGAGGAGCAGGAGGGUUUAGGGGGAGGCCGGCCCGUGUUUCCCCAGCCCAGGAGAGGCCGUUCUGGGGGUGGCAGCAGCUCCGGAGCCCCCUCCGAGGGCUCCUUUGAGAGCGAGACCCUGUCGCUGUCGGCCGCUUACUGCGGAGGAGGGGAGGGAGGGAGAGGAGGAGGAGGGAAUCGUUGCAGCCUGAUGGAGGUGUCAUUGUCAUCCCUGGGAGGGCCAGAGGGGGGCAGUGAUGAGCCAACUGACACAGAAGGACAGGAGUUGUUCUCUGACUCCAUGAGCGACCACACAGAACCUCCAACAGGAGAAACGUUGGAACUGACGGAACCCACGGGAGAACCGAGAGAAUCUACUGGGGAUCAAAUAGAACAGACACAGAACACAGAACUCCGAGAACCCUCAGUGGAACCCACAGAGCAGACGGAACCAGAGGCGAGAGGAGGGGUUGGAUUCUUCUUCAAGGAGGAGGUGCGUUGUGAAGAUGAGAUGGCUCAGAGGAGAGCUGCUCUGUUGGGGAGACAGCAGAAAAGAGCAGAGGACCUGAAGAGGAGGAGACAGUGGAACGAACAGGAGAGAGAGAGCAGACCCCCCUCUGAGGAGGAGGAGCGAAGAGGCUCUCUCCCACAGACCCCUCCCCUGUCCUGCACCCCUCCCCCCGCAGCCGGUGUCCCUUCCCUCACCCCACCGACCACGCCCAGUCGGCGUGGUGAUUUCACGCGGAAGGAGUACGCCCACCGCCAGCAGAUACGCAUCAUGUCUGACCUGGAUAAGGUGCUGUGUCAGAAACACACCAAUCAGGGACGAGUCGUCGCCAAGAAGUCCCGCCCCCGACCUCGGAGCAUGACCCGGGAGGAGUCACAGCUGUCCCGCAGCCCAGCCAAGAGCACUAUGGGUUCUAAGUUGACUAAGGUGUACUCUCACUCCUCUCUCAACCUGGCUGCUAUGGCUGACGACACAGUCCCUGACCACACCGUCCCUAACCCUAGCAAGAAACCAUCCAGCCGCCCUGAUUCGCCCUCACGUCUGAUGUCACCGAGCCAACUGGCCAAUCAGAACGGAGACAAGGACUGGGAGAUCGGCUCCAAUGGCUCCUCCCCUUCCAUUCCAGAAUACACCGGGCCCAAACUGUUCAAGGAGCCGAGCUUCAAGUCCAAUAAGUUCAUCAUCCACAACGCUCUGUCUCGCUGCUGUCUGGCUGGGAAAGUCAACGAGACUCAGAAGAACAAGAUGGUGGAGGAGAUGGAGAAGAGUCCAGCCAAUCACUUCCUGAUUCUGUUCCGUGAUUCCAACUGUCAGUUCCGAGCCGUCUACACCAUGAGCCCCGAGACUGACGAGCUCAUCCGAUUGGCCGGGGUGGGCCCGCGUGUCGUAAGCCCCGCCCUGGUGGAGUCCAUCUAUAAGUACAGCUCCGACAGGAAACAGUUCAGCUGUAUCCCGUCCAAGACCAUGUCCAUGAGUGUCGACGCCUUCACCUUACCAGGACACCUGUGGCACAGCAAGAGGCCUGGCAAGCCAAAAUAACCAUGUAUAUACUGUAUAUACAUACAUACCUGUGGCACAGCAAGAGGCCUGGCAAGCCAAAAUAACCAUGUAUAUACUGUAUAUACAUACAUACCUGUGGCACAGCAAGAGGCCUGGCAAGCCAAAAUAACCAUGUAUAUACUGUAUAUACAUACAUACCUGUGGCACAGCAAGAGGCCUGGCAAGCCAAAAUAACCAUGUAUAUACUGUAUAUACAUACAUACCUGUGGCACAGCAAGAGGCCUGGCAAGCCAAAAUAACCAUGUAUAUACUGUAUAUACAUACAUACCUGUGGCACAGCAAGAGGCCUGGCAAGCCAAAAUAACCAUGUAUAUACUGUAUAUACAUACAUACCUGUGGCACAGCAAGAGGCCUGGCAAGCCAAAAUAACCAUGUAUAUACUGUAUAUACAUACAUACCUGUGGCACAGCAAGAGGCCUGGCAAGCCAAAAUAACCAUGUAUAUACUGUAUAUACAUACAUACCUGUGGCACAGCAAGAGGCCUGGCAAGCCAAAAUAACCAUGUAUAUACUGUAUAUACAUACAUACCUGUGGCACAGCAAGAGGCCUGGCAAGCCAAAAUAACCAUGUAUAUACUGUAUAUACAUACAUACCUGUGGCACAGCAAGAGGCCUGGCAAGCCAAAAUAACCAUGUAUAUACUGUAUAUACAUACAUACCUGUGGCACAGCAAGAGGCCUGGCAAGCCAAAAUAACCAUGUAUAUACUGUAUAUACAUACAUACCUGUGGCACAGCAAGAGGCCUGGCAAGCCAAAAUAACCAUGUAUAUACUGUAUAUACAUACAUACCUGUGGCACAGCAAGAGGCCUGGCAAGCCAAAAUAACCAUGUAUAUACUGUAUAUACAUACAUACCUGUGGCACAGCAAGAGGCCUGGCAAGCCAAAAUAACCAUGUAUAUACUGUAUAUACAUACAGGAAUGGAUACACACACACACACAAACAACUGAAUUACUGUUUGUCCUGCAUGGGACACACUACCCCACUCGCCCUUCUCAUCGGACCUACUGACUGUUGACAAGGUGCUUUCUCUCCCCUGUAUGUGCAUGGAAAUGGAACAGUCCAACUAUCCACCCUUAUGGAGAAGGCUCUAAGACUCGUCCACACGCGGGGGAUACUGAAGACCAGUUGUUGUUGUAAAAAUGACCUUUUCAAUCUUAAAUGGUUUCACUACACAGAAACAAACUCUACACAAAAAGUGUAUCUUUCUCUUUUUUCAGUUAAAACGUUCUCCUGUAAAUGUCUGAGGUACAAAAUGAUUGUUUCUCUGCUACCCAUAAACCCUUUGGCCUUAUGUUCUGUUCACUACUAGCUGAAAGGCUGGAGGCUGACAGCCAUUGUGUAGGUUGACUAAAGUUUUCUGUUUUAUAACACAAACAUAAUCCUUCUAAUGCCUUCUGCCCAACGACUGGCAGGUUACAGGACUUUUAUUAUCCUGCAAACCACGGUCAAAACAAGGAAUGGAAGACACGUGUUCCACCUCUCUCUCUCUCUCUCUCUCUCUCUCUUCUCUCUCUCUCUCUCUCUCUCUCUCUCUCAUUAUCCUGCAAACCACGGUCAAAACAAGGAAUGGAAUACGUGUUCUUUAAUGUGAAUAGGAGAAAAGACCAGGCGAUGUGUGUUCACCAAAUAGCACAUAAAUCAAAGAUUGUGCAUAGUUGUGACGGACGGGCAUCACUAAGGCCCAGAUUCAAUCUGAUUCUGCACUAUUCUGCUCGACUGACAUGUAAAAGCACUGUUCCCGCAUUCGCCAAGACUGCAUUCUCGACAAACGCUGAAUACGUUGGCCAAAUCGGGAAUGACCUUUACAUUUCAAUCACGCUACAAGGCAGAUGUUCUGCGCUAUAGAUUGAAUCCCUAAUCUGCCAUAACUGAUUUGUACAAAGACGCUGCAGCAUGGACAUGUGGUCUCACAGUGCUUGACUUGGACAGGAGCUCACCGGGACUGAGUACCGAAAAGCACCUCAAAUGUUCUACUGCUUGACUUGGACAGGAACUCACCGGGACUGAGUACCGAAAAGCACCUCAAAUGUUCUACUGCUUGACUUGGACAGGAGCUCACCGGGACUGAGUACCCAACGGCACCUCAAAUGUUCUACUGCUUGACUUGGACAGGAGCUCACCGGGACUGAAUACCCAACGGCACCUCAAAUGUUCUACUGCUUGACUUGGACAGGAACUCACCGGGACUGAAUACCCAACGGCACCUCAAAUGUUCUACUGCUUGACUUGGACAUGAGCUCACCGGGACUGAAUACCCAACGGCACAUCAAAUGUUCUACUGCUUGACUUGGACAGGAGCUCACCGGGACUGAAUACCCAACGGCACCUCAAAAUGUUCUACUGCUUGACUUGGACAGGAGCUCACCGGGACUGAAUACCGAACGGAACCUCAAAUGUUCUACUGCUUGACUUGGACAGGAGCUCACCGGGACUGAGAACCGAACGGAACCUCAAAUGUUCUACUGCUUGACUUGGACAGGAGCUCACCGGGACUGAGAACCGAACGGAACCUCAAAUGUUCUACUGCUUGACUUCCUGCACCUCUUACAGAAUAUUAUCUCUAAACCGUUGCAGAGUUCCUGCACCUAAAUAUAAACGGUACCGGUACUCAAAAUGAGUACUGGCACCUAUUUUAGUCCAAGUCAAGCACUGGUUGUUAUGGGUUGUCAGCCAAUAGAAAUGUAAAACCCUGACAGUUAAAGGUCAGGGGGCAGGGGUUAUGAUCCACCCACGGUACAGUCGGGUUAAUAAAGUAGAUGUGUUUUAAAACCUGA